CAAGGAUAGGUUAACAUGCCUGACAGGUUCACUCUGCUCACGCUCAGCUUUUAUUUCAUACUUCACAAUGUUUGUAGUUGGAGCGUGAGUGAACCUCUCAACCACACAUUGAAUGACGAUGGCUCAGUCAGUGUCACAUGCGUGUUUUAUGGAGAAGAAAGGUUUGAAUUGGAAGCGAAGUUGAAAAUGAAUGAUAAGGAUGUUUGUGAGGUUUAUGACAAAAGACAAGAACAUAACAAGUGUAAAUGGGAGCAUGAGGACAAUAAAUUCACGUUCACCUUAAUGAAACCUGAGGCCUUACACAGUAAUACAUUUUCCUGUGAGAUAUCCAAAAUAAAACCAUAUCCAGUCAAAACUGAAAAAGGACCGAAAAUUAAGCUUUUCCGAGGUUGCAGUAACCCUUUUGCUCCACUGAAGAACAGCUGUCCAAUCACUAACCAAACACAUAACCAGGAUCCCACACCUGUAGAAAGGCCCGCACUUGAAGACACGUAUACCGUACUAAUCUGUGGUCUGGUCAUAGUGGUGAUAAUGCUGUCUCUCUACAGCAUUAUUCUUACUGCAGUCUACAUCAAAUUGAGGGUCACAAAUUUGGAGCCUUCUGACACUCUGACCUACGUGCCAAUGCAGAGGAAUGUAAAACGGCGUGAUCUAGAAAACACUGAAUAUGUGGACAUGCGUGAAGUGCAGAAACAGGAAGGAUCCCACAGAGAUAUGAACCACAACUCUCAUCUUGCUACUGUCAGAGCCCAUUUCUAAUAGCAUCAGUGAGCUCAUGCUUUAACUGCUCUAGGACUUACUGCUUAUUAUACUUACGCUUCACUAAAGAAUAGAACAGGAUAAAACUAUUUCCUUUCUACCAAACAAAACGGACUUUCCUGAAUGCCUGAAUCUGCAUAUUGCUCCUGCACCUCAUUCAACUGCUCAAAUAACAGUCUUGAUGUUCUGUUGCAGAUGAUUUCAUCUGGUGGCUUGUACAACGUAAUGCUGAACUGUAGCUAUGCCAAGCUAAAUGUAUAUAAAAUCUCUAGCUUGGACAUUUUUUUUAAUUACUUUGAUCCCAUGGACCAAUAAUCAAUCAUAAUAUCAGUUUUGUUCAGUGUAUAAUAAAUAUAUAAUACAGUGGCUAUAUUGAAUGAUGAAUUAAAUCAAAUUUUCUAUUAAUUUGUGCAUUUUGAAAAUGUUUAUUAAAAGGUGCAAAAAGUAAACAUCUGAAAACAAGACAAUAUUUUACUUUCAAUUUUGAUUUUCAACAUUUAAAAAUACAACCGUUCUUUUU
rnacentral:lncRNA from 1 species